UUCUGUGGCAUUGUGGGAUCAUUAUUAUUCUCAGGAAAGAAUUGAUAGAAGAAUUAUUCGAGAUAAUUCGGACAUUAUGUCUCUAAGCGAUAAAAGCUUCAUGCAAAAUUUCCGCCUUAAUAAGCACGCAUUUUUAUAUGUUUUGGACAACAUAAGACCCCAAUUAAAAGUCGCUCAAAGGACCACAUCAAUUCCAGAAAUUGUAAAACUGUCAACAACCUUGAAGUUCCUCGCACAGGGCGGGUAUCAUCACUCGGUCGGCCAAGAUAGGCAUUCAGGGCUAGCCCAACAAUCGGUUUCCCGAUGCAUCUUGGAAGUGUGUGAUGCCAUCGAGAAAACUCUGUGCCCAAAGCAUAUCGUGUUUCCCUUGACCAUUGAGGAAAAAAUUGAAGCAAAUAGAACCUUUUACUUGACGUCCGGAAUUCCAGGCGUAAUUUGAGUGAUUGAUGGGACGCACAUCCAGUUGAUACGACCAUCACGGAAUGAACACUUAUUUUUUAAUUGUAAACUAAAACACAGCAUAAAUGCAAUGGUGAUAUGUGAUCACAAAAUGCAGAUAAGGGCAGUAAAUAGUAGAUUUGGAGGAGCGUCGCAUGACUCCCACGUAUGGAACCUCUCAGGAGAACGUGCAAGUUUGAGGACGAACUACGAAAAUGGAAAUAGAAGCGAACGAAUUCUUGGAGACUCCGGAUAUCCUCUUGAACCUUGGCUGCUAACGCCAUAUAGGAAUGCGCCAGAACGUUCUGAUGAACUCUAUUUCAUCCAACAGUUUACAAAAGGCCGAUUCCUCUAUUGACAAUAACUCACUCACUUGUUGCUCUAACUGUGAUAAAGAUUGAUAUGGACGCCGAUACACCUGUAACCCCCACGCCAACUCUCCGUUAGGCUGUUACUGUGCCUCGCUCUGGAACUGUUCCAGUAGCAGCGCCCCGAACCAUCACGGCAGCAACGGCGCCAAUCGUGGCACGAAGCUCAACACGCGCAGCACCGACGCCGGCGCCUCCGAAACCGCACCGCACCAGAUGUCCGCUCUGUUGCCGUUCACAUAGGCUGCAGCAUUGCUCUAUUUUCAAGGGAAUGUUACCCGUACAACGUCAGAAGGUGGCACAGGCACAUGGGCAUUGUUUAAACUGCUUGGCCAAGUCACACGCCACACUUGAAUGCGAAUCUGACACCUCGUGCCGGUUAUGUGAAAGACCGCAUCAUACCUUACUCCACCGGAACGCCGGACAUCCUGGCUCACCAACUGUCCUCCGCCGCCGUACGGCCACCCGACGAUCGCAGCCCAACCGUGUGGCACGACAUCCAGAAGCUGGAUGGUCCUGGCGCCCACUCAAUACGACAUCCACGCGCAACCAGCCAAGGCCACAACCUCACCGCCCCACCAGCUUGAGCGGCGUUGUAGCUACGCUACAGGCACUACAGCGUCUACUAGACUAGUUUUCGCCUAGGGGGGCCGGGAUGUCGAAAUGAACGCCAGUCGUCCGAACUAACUUAACUAUAAGGCAACAUUGAAUACCCCAUUCUCCACACCAACAUACCAAUCAGGAAAAAAGGCAGCAUUGAAUACCAUAUUCUACACAUCAACAUACCAAUCAGGAAAAAAGGCAGCAUUGAAUACAACACUCUCCACAUCAAACUGUGUUUGUUCCGUUUUUCAUUUUAUACCCAAGAGAAGGUGACGCUGUGCCGGCUUUUGUUCUUCACAGUUCUAGAAGUCACGCACGCCGAUACACACGCGCACCGCAACGUCUAUUUGAACAUUUUUUUAACUUUGCACCCUUUGCACCAUCCGGUCAUUAUAUCUAGAGAUUAUUUGUUUUUAUUCGGCUUUUAUGCGGUUUAUAUAUUUAUAUAUUUAUAUAUAUUAUAUUUAUAUUUAUAUAUUUUAUGUACAUUUAACUUUGGUUUGGUGACAUUUCACUUUUAGUAUCGCUAUAUGCGAAAGAAAUUGGUGUAGUGUGCUAAUUUGCAUCAAAGAAGGUUUAUUCAGUGCUAUAACCUAAAACGUGUUUAAUUAUCCCAACGCUCUAUUUCUAAAAUCUGUGGAUACAUUAAUUAACAUCUAAAUUAGCGUAAAGUGUGAAAAUAUAUAAUUCACUGUAAGAAGACAUUGUAAAAUUUGCAAAUUGAAGUGAUAAGUAAUAAAGCUUAUAUAGCUCAACAAGAGCGCAAAAGGAAAAGU